rnacentral:lncRNA from 1 species
UAGACCUUAUUCUGUUGAUAAGAUCUAAUGAUGAAACUGUAUCGAUGAAUAGAAUUAUCGAAAAAUGUGAAUUAGAAUUCUACUGGAGAAAAGUAUUGUUGAUUCUCUGAAUAAUCUGGAGAUAGCUAUAUAAUUUCACUAGUGAGUUUUACUAUUGUUGGCAAUUCUUGGGAGAUUUUGAGCAUCUUAAAUUUAGCAUUAACGGAUUGAUGGUGCUUUGGAUGGGCUUAGACCUGGAAUGUUCCUUACUCCUAGCUAUGACAUUAUCAAUCUAUCCAUUUGAAAAAGGGUUUGAGGUGUUCUUAGGAUAAAGGUUGAUCAUUAAAUCAUGGGCAAAGUUAAAAGAAGAAAGAGGAUCAUAGAUUAUGAAAAGUAUUUGAUGCUUCAUCUAUUUCGGUUAAGCCGAUUACGAUCGUUGUGUGGACUUAAUCGAGAGCAAUUAAUUUCUUGGGCCAAGAAUCAUAGCAUUUAAAAUCUAAGGUUGGAAGAUUAGUCCUCUUUUGAAAGAGAUCAAAGAACUCCUACGUGUCAUAGAUGGAAAGGUUCAAGUUUUGAGAUGCCAUGACUUUGUAUGUCAAAAUCUUAUCAGUAGGUACUCCGAGAGAGAGACUAACUGAGAUCUCACGGAUGACUCGAUGGUUGAAUACUUUUAAAGCCUGAACCCGAAGGUAUGACUAAUUUCGAGGACGAAAUUUUUUUUUAAGGAGGGAAGAA